rnacentral:rRNA from 1 species
GAUGAACGCUGGCGGCGUGCCUAAUACAUGCAAGUCGAGCGAACAGACGAGGAGCUUGCUCCUCUGACGUUAGCGGCGGACGGGUGAGUAACACGUGGAUAACCUACCUAUAAGACUGGGAUAACUUCGGGAAACCGGAGCUAAUACCGGAUAAUAUAUUGAACCGCAUGGUUCAAUAGUGAAAGACGGUUUUGCUGUCACUUAUAGAUGGAUCCGCGCCGCAUUAGCUAGUUGGUAAGGUAACGGCUUACCAAGGCAACGAUGCGUAGCCGACCUGAGAGGGUGAUCGGCCACACUGGAACCUGGACACGGGCCAGACUCCUACGGGAGGCAGCAGUAGGGAAUCUUCCCCAAUGGGCGAAAGCCUGACGGAGCAACGCCGCGUGAGUGAUGAAGGUCUUCGGAUCGUAAAACUCUGUUAUUAGGGAAGAACAAAUGUGUAAGUAACUAUGCACGUCUUGACGGUACCUAAUCAGAAAGCCACGGCUAACUACGUG